rnacentral:rRNA from 1 species
UGGGAACGCGAAGAACCUUACCAGGUCUUGACAUCCUUUGACAAUCCUAGAGAUAGGACUUUCCCUUCGGGGACAAAGUGACAGGUGGUGCAUGGUUGUCGUCAGCUCGUGUCGUGAGAUGUUGGGUUAAGUCCCGCAACGAGCGCAACCCCUAUUGUUAGUUGCCAGCAUUCAGUUGGGCACUCUAAUGAGACUGCCGGUGACAAACCGGAGGAAGGUGGGGAUGACGUCAAAUCAUCAUGCCCCUUAUGACCUGGGCUACACACGUGCUACAAUGGAUGGUACAACGAGCAGCAAGACCGCGAGGUCAGGCGAAUCUCUUAAAGCCAUUCUCAGUUCGGAUUGCAGGCUGCAACUCGCCUGCAUGAAGCCGGAAUCGCUAGUAAUCGCGAAUCAGAAUGUCGCGGUGAAUACGUUCCCGGGUCUUGUACACACCG